GAUGAACGCUGGCGGCGUGCCUAAUACAUGCAAGUCGAGCGAACAGACGAGGAUCUUUCUCCUCUGACGUUAGCGGCGGACGGGUGAGUAACACGUGGAUAACCUACCUAUAAGACUGGGAUAACUUCGGGAAACCUGAGCUAAUGCCGGAAAAUAUAUUGAACCUCAUGGUUCCAUCGUGAAAGACGGUUUUUCUUUCACUUAUAGAUUGAUCCGCGCCGCAUUAAUUAGUUGGUAAGGUAACGGGUUACCAAGGCAACGAUGCGUAGCGCACCCCAGAGGGAGGAUGGCUAGAUGGGCAGUGAGAAAGGGCACAGACUCCUAGGGGGGGAAGCAGUAGGGACUCCUACGCAAGGGACGAAAGCCUAACGGAGCAAAGUCGGGUGAGGGAUGACGGUCUCAGGCUGGGAAAACGAUGUUAUUAGGGAAAAAGAAAUGUGCUAGUACCGAUGAACGUCUUGACGGUACCUAAUGAGAAAGCCACGGCUAACUACGUG
rnacentral:rRNA from 1 species